GUGUUAGUUCAAUGGCAGAGCAGCAGUCUCCAAAACUGCCUAUGGGGGUUCGAAUCCCUCACA
rnacentral:tRNA from 1 species